CGCAAUGGGCGCAAGCCUGACGGAGCAAGACCGCGUGCGGGAGGACGGCCUAUUGGUUGUAAACCGCUUUUGAUAGGGAAGAAGUUCUGACGGUACCUAUCGAAUCAGCAUCGGCUAACUCCGUGCCAGCAGCCGCGGUAAUACGGAGGAUGCAAGCGUUAUCCGGAAUUAUUGGGCGUAAAGCGUCCGUAGGUGGUUGUUCAAGUCUGCUGUUAAAGCGUGCGGCUUAACCGCAUACCAGCAGUGGAAACUGGGCGACUAGAGUGCGGUAGGGGUCAGGGGAAUUCCCAGUGUAGCGGUGAAAUGCGUAGAUAUUGGGAAGAACACCGGUGGCGAAAGCGCCUGACUGGACCUGCAC
rnacentral:rRNA from 1 species